CGCAUAAGUGAUGGUGGUUUUUACUUUAGUGCGAACAGCUCAUAUGAAUUUCAAAGCAGUUCUACAGUCCAACACUGGUCUCUCAAUCUCCCGUUGGAGAGCCGCGAGCUUCACCAUACUUACGUUCUGUGAUGUUGUCAUUUCUUGUGCUCAAGGAGCCGAUUCUGAGAACUCACGGCUAUUCCGAGCUAGCCCUUCCGAGAUGUAUCCAGUCUGCAGUCAGAGAUCUUAUUCUGAGUAUUCACAGCAGCCGUAGCCUCUCCAAGAUCUUAUCCGUGCUGCGCUCAAUGAGCCCAUUUUGAGAAACUCACGCGUCUCCCAUCGUUUCAAUCCCAGUGGGCAGCCUUGUGGGGGUUUGAACAGCCGGUUCCGCUUUCUUAAUUCUUUGAUAAGUCAGGGCCAAGCCAGCUCCGAUCAGCCAGAACCCUGUUACCAUGGUUCCGAAUAGGUAGAUAUCUUCAGCACUCAGGCUCACCCAAGCCCAAACUUCUCGUUGAGAAGGGGUGUCAAUUGCAUUCAGAGACCAGUUGAUCCAAUCCAUAAUUCCUCUUUUAGGUUUUAAAGAACAGAAUGUGAGAGAGUGUUCCAGGGAAAAGUAAUACAAAAAACACGAGACUAGACAAGGACAUAAGAGGAUAAGCAGGGAAGCUAAGGGAGAGGAGGAGGAGGAGAGGAGAAAAGUGUGACCGCCUUCGUCAAGAGCAGAGACUUUGAGUUUGACUCUGUAAAACGUGACAAAAAAAAAAAAAAAAAAACAUAAUCACCCGCUGUUCACUGCGUGGGAAGAAAACUUCUUUUUACAACAACCCCCCAAACUUCCGUGCAAGCACCGAGUACUCUGCCACGGGAAUGUGAAAUUCACAGAGAAACUCCCAGAUUCUUCCACUGACUGCUGUGACACACCUGCACCAGGGCAAACAUCCGCCUGCCCCACUCCUGCUAUACAGAUGAAAAUAGAGCAACAGGACCACCGAGUCUUUGAUUUUAUUUAGUUUCUGCUGUGUUUUACUUGCAUCUAUUGGAAAGAGUGAGUGUAAACAAAAAAAAAAAACUAAGGCAAGGCAAGGCAAGGCAAGUUUAUUUGUAUAGCACAAUUCAACAACAAGGUGAUUCAAAGUGCUUUACAGAGACAUUAGAAACAAGAACAAAUAAAAAGCAUGAUUUAAAAUUGAUUAAAACAAGCAAAUAAACUAACUAACUAAUUAACA
ensembl:lncRNA